CUACGGAGGGUGCAAGCGUUAUUCGGAAUCACUGGGCGUAAAGGACGCGUAGGCGGGUUGGCAAGUCAGAUGUGAAAUCCUACAGCUUAACUGUAGAACUGCAUUUGAAACUGCUAACCUAGAGUAUGGGAGGGGGAGAUGGAAUUAGUGGUGUAGGGGUAAAAUCCGUAGAUAUCACUAGGAAUACCGAAAGCGAAGGCGAUCUCCUGGAACAUAACUGACGCUAAGGCGUGAAAGCGUGGGGAGCAAACAGGAUUAGAAACCCGAGUAGUCC
rnacentral:rRNA from 1 species